rnacentral:tRNA from 1 species
UUGUUGGUGGUUCAGUGGUAGAAUCCUUGCUCUCCAUGCAGGAGACCCUGGUUCAAUUCCCAGCCAAUGCA